rnacentral:rRNA from 1 species
CCUACGGGAGACUGCAGUCGGGAAUAUUGCGCAAUGGAGGAAACUCUGACGCAGUGACGCCGCGUGCAGGAAGAAGGUUUUCGGAUUGUAAACUGCUUUAGACAGGGAAGAAAAAAGACAGUACCUGUAGAAUAAGCUCCGGCUAACUACGUGCCAGCAGCCGCGGUAAUACGUAGGGAGCAAGCGUUAUCCGGAUUUAUUGGGUGUAAGGGUGCGUAGACGGAGAAGCAAGUUAGUUGUGAAAUCCCUCGGCUUAACUGAGGAACUGCAACUAAAACUACUUCCCUUGAGUACUGGAGAGGAAAGUGGAAUUCCUAGUGUAGCGGUGAAAUGCGUAGAUAUUAGGAGGAACCCCGAUUGCGAAGGCAGCCUGCCAAGCCAUGACUGACGCUGAUGCACGAAAGCGUGGGGAUCAAACAGGAUUAGAUACCCCUGUAGUC